rnacentral:rRNA from 1 species
UGCAGUCGUACGCUUCUUUUUCCACCGGAGCUUGCUCCACCGGAAAAAGAGGAGUGGCGAACGGGUGAGUAACACGUGGGUAACCUGCCCAUCAGAAGGGGAUAACACUUGGAAACAGGUGCUAAUACCGUAUAACAAUCGAAACCGCAUGGUUUUGAUUUGAAAGGCGCUUUCGGGUGUCGCUGAUGGAUGGACCCGCGGUGCAUU